GCCAGUGUAGCGUAGUGGUUUGAACAUUGGACUACAAUUCUGGAGACCAGGGUUCGAUUCCCCGGUCAGCCA